UACGAAGGGUGCAAGCGUUAUUCGGAAUAACUGGGCGUAAAGGGUGCGUAGACGGCGCAUUAAGUUCGUUGUUAAAUUUCUCAGCCUAACUGAGAGCAGGCGACGAAUACUGGUGUGCUAGAGGUUGGAAGAGAGAAGUGGAAUUCUCGGUGGUAGCGGUAAAAUGCUUAGAUAUCGAGAGGAACACCGAUGGUGAAAACAGCUUCUUGGUCCAAUCCUGACGUUGAGGCACGAAAGCGUGGGGAGCAAACAGG
rnacentral:rRNA from 1 species